AGUUUGAUCCUGGCUCAGAUUGAACGCUGGCGGCAUGCCUUACACAUGCAAGUCGAACGGCAGCACGGGGGCAACCCUGGUGGCGAGUGGCGAACGGGUGAGUAAUACAUCGGAACGUGUCCUGUAGUGGGGGAUAGCCCGGCGAAAGCCGGAUUAAUACCGCAUACGCUCUACGGAGGAAAGGGGGGGAUCUUCGGACCUCUCGUUAUAGGGGCGGCCGAUGGCAGAUUAGCUAGUUGGUGGGGUAAAGGCCUACCAAGGCGACGAUCUGUAGCUGGUCUGAGAGGACGACCAGCCACACUGGGACUGAGACACGGCCCAGACUCCUACGGGAGGCAGCAGUGGGGAAUUUUGGACAAUGGGCGCAAGCCUGAUCCAGCAAUGCCGCGUGUGUGAAGAAGGCCUUCGGGUUGUAAAGCACUUUUGUCCGGAAAGAAAACCUCUGCCCUAAUACGGCGGGGGGAUGACGGUACCGGAAGAAUAAGCACCGGCUAACUACGUGCCAGCAGCCGCGGUAAUACGUAGGGUGCAAGCGUUAAUCGGAAUUACUGGGCGUAAAGCGUGCGCAGGCGGUCCGCUAAGACAGAUGUGAAAUCCCCGGGCUUAACCUGGGAACUGCAUUUGUGACUGGCGGGCUAGAGUAUGGCAGAGGGGGGUAGAAUUCCACGUGUAGCAGUGAAAUGCGUAGAGAUGUGGAGGAAUACCGAUGGCGAAGGCAGCCCCCUGGGCCAAUACUGACGCUCAUGCACGAAAGCGUGGGGAGCAAACAGGAUUAGAUACCCUGGUAGUCCACGCCCUAAACGAUGUCAACUGGUUGUCGGGUCUUCAUUGACUUGGAACGUAGCUAACGCGUGAAGUUGACCGCCUGGGGAGUACGGGUCGCAAGAUUAAACUCAAAGGAAUUGACGG
rnacentral:rRNA from 1 species